UGCUGCGGAGGGGACUCGCGAGCCAAAAGGAGGAGGGGCCAAGAAGCCCCGCCCACUUUCUCUCAUUCUCGAAAUUCAGGAGGAGGGGGCACAAGAAGCUGCGCCCAGUCUCUUUCAUUCUCGAGAUCUGCGCCUGCGCACAGGCUCCAGCCCCUUCUCUUUCUUCCCGCCCACUGCCGGCGCAGCCGUUGCUUCCUUCCUUCUCGCGCCCUCUCCAAGUCUCGCGCGCCGGUGUCUCGCGAGGCGUCGGCCUCGUUGAUGGUUCGGCCUCGCAGAGGAGAAGAGAAAGGAGAAAAAUCUUAGCCACAGAUGUGCUGGCUAUACUUGGCUUUGAAGAUGAUCUGCUUCAGAGGAUCAGCCAGUCCUUUGGAGCUGAUUUUGUGAGGUACCAAGGCUUUCAAGAGAAUGGGGAAUCUGUUCUCCCAACAGUGUCUACUCAGUGGGGAAAAAUACCCUCUUGGACUUUUACCCACUAUUAAAUACAGUAUGUAGAUAUUCAGCAAGAGAUUUGAGCAUGGAACAAGAUGAAGAAUACUUCACUGAAGUACAUAAUACUUUGCGUGAACAUUUGCAGUCAACUGGCUUUUCCCAUCCAAAGAAGUGAUUAAGACUAAACAGCUCUUUUAUCAAUAUAGGAAAAAAGGCUUUCAGAAGAAGUCUUUAAAUGAUCAGACUUAAGAGGUACUUGUCCCUUAACAGCAGGACCCGCUCCACUUCUAAAGUGAAGAUACUGCACUGUGGGAUGAGGUAGUAGGUUGUAUAGUUUUAGGGUCACACCCACCACUGGGAGAUAACUAUACAGUCUACUGUCUUUCCUAAAGAGGCAGACAAUCAUCAUUGACAUCUUUCUAUUUUAUGUUGCUGGAGUUUGGUUGACUAGGAAGAUUUGUGUUAGGAUCAGACCAUCCAACUUGGUAAGAAGAAUGAAAUUCAAAGUGUGGGAUCUUGACCAUUAUGGUCAGAAAACAGCUUAUGGCCAGAGAUCUUUUUGUCAUCUAUUCUCUCUCCCCAUCUGCCCCACAAAAACUCACUCAGGAGUGUCUUGAAUGGUGUAGGCUGUGGUGCAGAGAAUUGCUGUGAGAAGUGGGAAAUCUUCCAAAUUGAGGAAGACAUCUUGUGGAAACAAGCUUUGCUUGAACAAGAUGCCUAUGCCUGAUGUUGACUUAUUUUCCCUUGUCCAGUAUAGCAGUGCCCUAUCCCACACCAUCCAUGGUAGAAAUGAGGGAAAAAGUUCUGUUAAAUGAAUUGUUCUCAGGGCCUAUCCUAAAGGCAAGUAGACAUUUAGAGGACUAAUUAAACGUGGUUAGAAUUCUCUUCUAAACAGAUUUCUCUUUAUCAGGUUGAGGUAGUAGAUUGUAUAGUUGUAGGGCAGUUAUUUUGCCCUCUUCGGGAGAUAACUAUACAAUCUAUUGCCUUCCCUGAGGAGUAAAAUUUCUGCAAUAUUCUACUUACUGAGUUAAUAAUCUUGACUGAACUUCUGUUAAUGGAAUAGUCCUUGAUUUGAAAAGAAUAGUAAUGACAUGCUUCUUUAUUUUAUUUUUUUUCAGUAUGUUAUGUCAGACUAAAAUCUAUCACAGUUCUGUCCUGAUUUCUAUAAUUGUUGUUUUCUGAAACUUGCAUAUUGAAGAAAGCUGGUUGCCUGUUUCGCCAGGAAAAUGCAGGUGGAUGUAAUCUCACAUUUUUUAUUUAUCAACUCCUGCAAAUGUGGAAAAUGAUAAAGGGCAUUUGAGUUACUCCACUGAAGGAAAUACUUUCUCCAAUGGCAGAUGGGUUGAGCUUUAAGAGUUUUAUGUAUUGCUUCAGGAUCUUUUCAGAUGCAUACCUUCUGAAAAUACAUGUCAUUUGGUUUAAACUGUUGGAUUUUUAAAAAGUAACCAUUACUUUGUCUCUAGGUUGGUGCGUGGAAAAUCCUUAAUUUUGUAUGAUAGAUAGGUGACAAGCCAAUGAAUAUUUGUUUUAUUAAUUCAGUCAUGUUAUACUAAGUGUUUUACCUUCACAAUUACCAUGUGCAUUUUGUACUAUAGCAUCCUUUGAUUUCUUUUAAAAAAUUAUUGUGUGUUACAGCUACUAGUUUAUUUUUGGAAGAGCUGCAGAAGAAAUGGUGGGUUCCUAGGAAGAGGUAGUAGGUUGCAUAGUUUUAGGGCAGUGGUUUUGCCCAAAAGGAGUUAACUAUACAACCUGCUGCCUUUCUUAGGGCUUUAAUAUUACAACAGGAUCAUUUUGGCUCAGUUUAAAUCAUCCUCAGCCAUCUAAAUAUAAAGCUUUCAUGGGCCCAAAUAAGUCAGAUAUGUGAGAAUAUCUUAAACUUCCCGUUAGCAAACAAAAUGUUUCUUAAGGAAGAAAACUAGAACGGUUCUGUGAUACAAAGUAUUUAUAAAACAAUCUAUGCUAAGUGGGAAUGGUUUCAAGUCUAAGGCAAAAAUGAUACUGACUCUUCUAUAUUUCUGUGUAAUAAAAGACUCAAAACUGAGUAUACCAAAUUCA